rnacentral:rRNA from 1 species
GAUGAACGCUGGCGGCGUGCCUAAUACAUGCAAGUCGAGCGAAUGGACUAAGAGCUUGCUCUUAUGAAGUUAGCGGCGGACGGGUGAGUAACACGUGGGUAACCUGACCAUAAGACUGUGAUAAAUCCGGGAAACCGGGGAUAAUACCGGGUAAUAUUUUGCACUGCAUGGUUCAACAUUGAAAGGCGGCUUCGGUGGUUACUGAUGGAUGGGCCCGCGUCGCAUUAGCUAGUUGGUGAGGUAACGGCUCACCAAGGCAACGAUGCGUAGCCGACCUGAGAGGGUGAUCGGCCACACUGGGACUGAGACACGGCCCAGACUCCUACGGGAGGCAGCAGUAGGGAAUCUUCCGCAAUGGACGAAAGUCUGACGGAGCAACGCCGCGUGAGUGAUGAAGGCUUUCGGGUCGUAAAACUCUGUUGUUAGGGAAGAACAAGUGCUAGUUGAAUAAGCUGGCACCUUGACGGUACCUAACCAGAAAGCCACGGCUAACUACGUGCCAGCAGCCGCGGUAA